CCUACGGGAGGCAGCAGUGAGGAAUAUUGGUCAAUGGCCGGAAGGCUGAACCAGCCAUGCCGCGUGAAGGUCAGUGCCCUAUGGGCGUUAAACUUCUUUUGUGCGGGAGCAAUAAUGGUCACGUGUGGCCAGACGAGAGUACCGUACGAAUACGCAUCGGCUAACUCCGUGCAAGCAGCCGCGGUAAUAGGGGGGAUGAAAGCGUUAUCCGGAUUUAUUGGGUUUAAGGGGGGCGUAUGCUGGGCGGUCAGGCAGCGGUGAAAUGGCCCCGCUCAACGGGGUGAAGUGCCAUUGAUACUGCCUUGCUGGAAUGCGGAUGCCGUGGGAGGAACGUGAGGUGUAGCGGUGAAAUGCAUAGAUAUCACACAGAACACCGAUUGCGAAGGCAUCUCACGGAUCCGCGAUUGACGCUGAUGCACGAAAGCGUGGGUAUCAAACAGGAUUAGAUACCCCUGUAGUC
rnacentral:rRNA from 1 species